rnacentral:rRNA from 1 species
AGCAGCCGCGGUAAUACGAAGGGUGCAAGCGUUAAUCGGAAUUACUGGGCGUAAAGCGCGCGUAGGCGGCUUAUCAAGUCAGAGGUGAAAGCCCGGGGCUCAACCCCGGAACGGCCUUUGAAAAUAGUGGGCUAGAAUCUUGGAGAGGUCAGUGGAAUUCCGAGUGUAGAGGUGAAAUUCGUAGAUAUUCGGAAGAACACCAGUGGCGAAGGCGACUGACUGGACAAGUAUUGACGCUGAGGUGCGAAAGCGUGGGGAGCAA